UCAAUACUUCUGGAAACUGAAAUCCUCUCUUUAACCACAGAACAGGCACAGCACAGGUAAUGACAUUGGAAGCUUCUGCAGCCUGACCUGCUACUUGGUACCUCAACUUGGAGGGACCUUUUGUGGGUUAGUUUCUGUCUCUGAGUAUUCAAUCUUACAUCCCU
rnacentral:sRNA from 1 species